UACGAAGGAUGCGAGCGUUAUCCGGAUUUAUUGGGUUUAAAGGGAGCGUAGGCGGUCUUAUAAGUCAGUGGUGAAAUCUCGUUGCUUAACAACGAACGUGCCAUUGAUACUGUAGGACUUGAGUACAGUUGCCGUUGGCGGAAUGUGUCAUGUAGCGGUGAAAUGCAUAGAUAUGACACAGAACACCGAUUGCGAAGGCAGCUGACGAAACUGUAACUGACGCCGAGGCUCGAAAGCGUGGGGAUCAAACAGG
rnacentral:rRNA from 1 species